rnacentral:rRNA from 1 species
CUAACGAGAGGCCAGCGGCGGCGGGAAAACGGAGGAUCCGAGAGGUAUCCGGGGUGACUUGGCGUAAAGAGUUGCGUAGGUGGUUAGUAAAGCGAAUAGUGAAAUCUGGUGGCUCAACCAUACAGGCUAUUAUUCGUACUCACUAACUCGAGAGUGGUAGAGGUAACUGGAAUUUCUUGUGUAGGAGUGAAAUCCGUAGAUAUAAGAAGGAACACCAAUGGCGUAGGCAGGUUACUGGACCAUUUCUGACACUGAGGCACGAAAGCGUGGGGAGCGAACCGGAUUAGAUACCCUAGUAGUC